rnacentral:lncRNA from 1 species
GUUCAGGUAAUUAGUCACCUAAAUACCAUGAAGAAAAAAGAUUACUUUUAUAAUUAAAUUUUCAUCAAUUGUGAUCUUUAUCAUUUUUGAUUAAAAUUUUAGGUACUUUGAAAUUUUAUUUGUAAAAAAUUGGUUAAAUUGAUUAAUUUAAAGAAUCAAACCUGUUUCAAUUCAAAAAUUCCCCUUAUAAAAUAUGUUACUAGCAUUAUAUAUAAUGACUAAAACUACCAGGAAAAGAACAAAGAAAAGAUUACAUUUUCAUAUACUGCCUAUAUAUGUUAUAUAAUGCAGGAUAAAUUAUAGGAUGAAAGCUACACUGUCUGUUCCAAACAGUCUGUUCAUCCCUGUUAUUGCUAGUGCUUCCCCACCAGUUAACAACUUUGAUACCCUUUCAUCUCUUCCAAUUUGUGAUAAGAAUUACAUCCUGCCUGUUUAUUUCUUCAUUGACAGUUAUUCUCCCCAGAUCCUUCCACUCUUAUUUAGUUCAGAAGUCAAUAGUGUAAUAAUGUUUGAGAUUGCAAUAAAAAUAGAUACUAUGCAAAUGCACUGAAUUAGCUCAAAAAUAGAAUGUCAUUGCAAAUAAUAUUCUU